rnacentral:snRNA from 1 species
AUGUUUGCUUCAAUACAUAUAAAUAAAUUGGAACAAUACCAAGAUGAUUAGCAUAGCCCUUACACAGGAGGGCACUCACGUCUGUGAAGCUUUCCACGUUUUU